rnacentral:ncRNA from 1 species
UUUCAUAGAUUUUCUCGUAUAAGUGCAGGGAUCGGCCUGCAUGUCUCUACCUGAUCACCGGAAAUGAUCGGACUACGGGAGAAGGCU